rnacentral:lncRNA from 1 species
AGAGGUUUGCAUUAAUGUUAGUACUAACGAUCCUCAAUUCAUACCUAUUAAAAUUUUACUUGACUCCUAUUACAGGGUCACAAUCCCUUCUAUUUUUCAUUAGGAUACCAGUGAUGUCCAUAAGAAUGCUUCUAUCCAUUGUGAGAAUCCAAAGGUGCUCUUGGUAAAGAACAAACUGUCACUUGGUUUCCAUAUGCCUAGCUUUUGCAGGAAAAAAAAAACUUUGAAAGCUCAUGAUUUCCUUGAAAUUUCUAUCUUCAUCUAAUUGAAUCAACUGAAUUGUUCUGCUCACCCUUAGAUGCUAUGGCAUCAUGUAUUUAUACGUUAAUCCAUGGUCUUGAACCAUGCAAUCAGUUACCCAUCAAGCCAUCGAGCAUAUCUCAACAACCAUCAUCCUGAAAAAUCUUUGAGAAUCUCCAUUAACAUGGUUCUCUGCCUUCUGGCUAUUAGAUGGAAUGUUUUCCCAGUGCAAGAGAUUCCUAACAAAGCAGGGUCUGGGGAGGGAAUGUUUUGCUAUAUUGUUAUAUUGUUUUAAUAAGUUUCGAUUAUUGGCUGGUCUUGUUUGGUGCUCUGUGCAAGAAGGCAAAAGAUGAGCAAUGAGAAUUCUGUAAUGGUUGUGCAACCUUGCUACAUACCUCACAUGAUGCAUUAAGGUUCCUUGAACAUAUGAGGGGGCUCCCAUUAACAUAUCUUCCAUUAAUGUUCCUUGCUUCAUACAUACCUCACAUGAUGCAUCAAGGUUCCUUGAACAUAGGGAAUCUCAUGUUAUUCUCCUGAAAAUUCUGAUCCGUGCACAUCAUGUGCUGCCAUAUCAGGACAACCAACAUCUUUUUGCAAGAUGCUCCUGGUAAUAGAUCUUGUCUCUUUAUAUUUUAAUCGUUGGGAGAUUCCAUAAUCUUAAUUAUUGAUUUCUUUUAAAAUCUAAAGAUUCCUCCGUUAAUAAGUUUUGCUUUCAUCGGCAGCAAUGUUGUCCUUGGGAUUUUGUUUCAGUGAUUGAACUGCUCUAUUUAGACUUUUUCUUUAAUUUUUUUAAUGUUCACUUUUUUCUUUGAAGCUUCAAACAAUGACUUUCAGCCGGAUAUUCUAUUAGUAGUUGUUGGUUGUGGAGUGUUGUCCGGAAUCCAAUCUUGUCUCCUAAGAAUCUCUGCAGUGCAUCAUGGUAUACCAUACUGCAAAAAGCUGAAAAGAAUUAUAGGAGGUUUACAAUAAUGUAAUUCUUUUUUGCUAAAGUUAACUUGUUGAAGCAGCAGAGUGUGGCAAUUCAAUGGCAUACCCACUUUCUCUUUGGCUAAUAAUUAACACCAGCAUUAUUGUUUUAUGGUAGUCAAGCUGCUUCCUUUAGAUAUUCUGUAACUCUCUCCAAUGGAAUAGAACUUGAGCAUGAUUACUUUCAAACUUUUUGAAGAAUAUUUGCAAUGCAUAAUGAUGUCUUUCUUAUUCAUUACUAGACAAUGUGGAAGAAUUUGAUUUACAGCUAUGCGUUUACCUAGUUAUUCUUAAAUUAGUGCUAUGACAUACAGUCGAGACUGUAAGUGCACAGAGAUCAAGGAGAUCUGAUGAGCCUAAUUUGUCAAAAUUUGAACAAGUCUGGUCAUCACCAUUAAGUCCUCCAGCCAUGGGUGAUGAGAAUGUGAAGGUGACCGGAAUCCGGCAGAUAGUCCGAUUUAGAGAGAUGCUCCAUAAAUGGCAUUCCACUGCACUUGGGACAAAGGAAAAUGAAUCCAAGGCCUCCGGCAUUCCCCCUGCUGUGGACAAGCGCUUGAAGAAUGUGUGCAACUCUUGUGAUUCAGAUGAGGAGGGCUGCCAGAGCCCGGAGCCCCCACCGGAUGUCCCUAAGGGAUAUAUUCCGAUCUAUGUGGGACCCGAGCAUCGGAGGUUCGUCAUACCAACGAGUUAUCUGAGCCUGCCAUUGUUUAAGCUACUUCUAGAGAAGGCUGAAGAGGAGUUUGGGUUUGACCAUCGGGGUGCUAUCACAAUCCCUUGCGAGAUUGAGACAUUCAAGUACAUUCUCCAAUGCAUGGAACGACACCAGAAGGGCCUCAUCGAUGAUCGUAAGUCCAUCACCUCUCUGUUAUAAAUUUGUGCUUCAUAGAAAUUUGGACUUGUUUUGCUGUCUUUUAUUUGUUUCAUGUUCAAUCAGAAAUUCAAGUAUUUGCAUCUUGCCUCUGUAAGGAAAGAAACAUAUUUGUUACCUUCCCCUUUCCUAGUGGUUCAGAGGGAAGACAGUUAUUUCUCUUUUUCUUUCAGAAGUUUUUUUUUCUCAUUAUUGUUUUGAUUUACCGGAACAUUUUUAAAGUUGUUUCUUUUUUGAGAGAAAUUUUUGAAUUUACUUUCACUAUGUUCAACAAAUUGUCUGAGUCUCUAUUAGAUGUUCUCAGAUUCUCUCUUAUGUUAUUUGAAAUUUUGUUUUAGACUUUUACAGAACUACAAACUUUUCCCUUGACAAGUAAAUCAUUAUUACAUAUCUUGCAUGCAUGCAUGAAGCUUAUUUAAUUGUUCUUAGAAGAGAGUUAACAGUUCAAAAACGUCAAUUUGGCACAAGACUCAAAUAUCAAUUGUUUACCAGUUUUGUGCUUGACAGUUGAAUACCAAUCUUUCCAAGUGGUUAUAGAUCUUGAAACAUUUUUACCAACAAUAAGGUUCUUUAUGGAUCUCAGAAUUUCCUAGAGGCUUGCCUAAUGUUGCUCUUCCUCUCUCUGCUCUUACUUUUUUGCAGGAGGAAAUCCCACAGGGCUAGGAGAAUGAUCAUAAAGACUUGCUUGUUUUCAGCUACAGCAUUUAAAGGUUUGACAGCAUGUCCAACUGCCAAAUAGUUAUAUGACAAUCAAAGUGUUAGGAUAAUUUUUUCCUGUAUUGGUGAAAUUUGUGUGGAAUCUGAUGUACUCGAUCUUGGGCUUAAGUGGAUGGAGUGUGAAGUCUUUAUAAAUUUCCCCCACUCCAUUUUUAGGGCUAUAGAGGAUCUGAUGGGGUUCAUCUGACCCACAUUCCCUGUUUCCUCCAUCAUGUAACAUCGGAUUUAUUUCUCAACAAAUGAUUCUGUUAAACAUAUGAUGCCUUGUUGAUUUCUUUGAUUAGUUUGUUCUUUGAUUUUAAAGAUUCCAUUUCAUCUCUGCAUACUUUGAUAAGGAGAUAAAUAAUUCAUUAUUAAUGAAAUUUGAUGGGACAAUUUCAUCUAUCUUAAACAAAGACAUCACAAGCAAAAGCCAUGAGAGCAACUUCUUAUAUGUGAAAGGUGAAGGGCAUGUGGGUUCUUCUUGGGGCUAAUGGAGACUGACUAUCAUCCAUGCUGAUCACUGAUUGGCUUUUGAUGGCAGUGAAGGUGGAGGGUGUGGUGAUGUUAAUGGGUUUGGCUUUAUGCACCUACUAGUUUGGGAUUGAUCAUCUUUUAAUAACACCUAUUAAUAUAUAACAGUCCAAUUCACUGUAGAACUAUAUGCACUAAAAUUAUUAGGCGACUUCUUGGUGCCUGAGGUGGUGUUGAUGUAACGGAUGAUAUGAGAACAACAUUGUGGUGGUGGGGGGGAGAGGUACCAUCCGUGAUAGGACGGAAGGAUUAGUACAAUAAAAGGACUACUUCAAAUUAUAAUCCUCCAAAUGACUUUAUAUAGAACAAACUUCAAAAGAGAAACCGACGAGCUCUGAUCACCUGCGGAGGAGAAAAGGUCAGAAAAGAUUUAAAAAAGAUUUAAUAAACUUUGGUUGAUUCAAUGACAAAAGGGUGAAAAAAGAAGAAGCAAACUUUGGUUGAUUGUGGCUCUUUAACAUCAGAGGAGAAAUGAUAGUCUAGUUUAUAAUACAUGCUUUAAGGCCACUUUGGAGGUCCUAAAAGUUCUUUCACAUUGUGAAUAUUUCUGACUUUUCAUAAACAUUGAAAUAGAGCAUUUAAUUUUUAAAUUUUAUGAUUUCUUUCUCUUAGCAUAGUUCCACGUUUUAGUUCUCUUGAUUUUCAAGAAGGCAAAACUCUUCCUAAAAGAUCUAUAAUCAUAUUAUUUUUCCAGAUCUUCUGGUGACAAAAAAAAAAAAAAAAAAAAAAGAAAAAAAAGC